AAUCAACGCUGGCGGCGUGCCUCAGACAUGCAAGUCGAACGAUUAAAGCUCUCUUCGGAGAGUGCAUAGAGUGGCGCACGGGUGAGUAACACGUAAGUAAUCUACCCUCGAGUGGGGAAUAACGUCCGGAAACGGACGCUAAUACCGCAUAAUGCAGCGGCACCGCAAGGUGACAGUUGUUAAAGAUUUAUCGCUUGAGGAGGAGCUUGCGGCAGAUUAGCUAGUUGGUAAGGUAAUGGCUUACCAAGGCUACGAUCUGUAACCGGUCUUAGAGGACGGUCGGUCACACUGACACUGAAUAACGGGUCAGACUCCUACGGGAGGCAGCAGUCGGGAAUUUUGGGCAAUGGGCGAAAGCCUGACCCAGCAACGCCGCGUGAAGGAUGAAGUAUUUCGGUAUGUAAACUUCGAAAGAAUAGGAAGAAUAAA
rnacentral:rRNA from 1 species